GACAGAGGCCCCAAGCGUUAGGCGGAAUCACUGGGCUUAAAGCGUGUGUAGGCGGAUCGUUAAGUGUCUUGUGAAAUCCCACGGCUCACCCGUGGAACUGCUGGGCAUACUGGCGAUCUUGGGCCAACUAGGGGCAGCCGGAACAAGCGGUGGAGCGGUGAAAUGCGUAGAUAUCGUUUGGAACGCCAAUGGUGAAAACAGACAGCUGGGAGUGUGCUGACGCUGAGACACGAAAAGCGUGGGGAGCGAACAGG
rnacentral:rRNA from 1 species